AUGAAAAGAUCUGGCAAUACGGCGACCCAAAUACCCACAUGGCAACACAUGUCUGUUUCCAUCCAUAGACCUAGGGAACAGUCUUCAGUUCAUCAUGGCCACCAACUGCCUGGACUUUGUAUCUUUCUUUCUUUUUUUUUUUUUUUUUUAAGAUUUUAUUUGUUUAUUCAUAGAGUCAGAGAGAGAGAGAGAGAGAGAGAGAGAGGCAGAGACACAGGCAGAGGGAGAGGCAGGCAUCAUACAGAGAUGCCCGUUGUGAGACUAGAUCCAGGGUCUCCAGGAUCACGCCCUGGGCCGCAGGCGGUGCCAAACUGCUGUGCCACCAGGGCUGCCCCCUGCCUGGACUUUAUGAAACAGCUUGAAGAUGAAGACACUUCAGACAGGAACUGGUGCUGGCCCCAGAUUUCAGGACCUUUGAAAUGGAUGCCUGUAUUAAAUUCCCUCUAGUGAACUUACCUGGUGGUGACAUUGAAGAACGUUUGGACACUUACUGCUGCUGCUGACAUUGAAGAACGUUUGGACACUUACAUGAAACUUAAUAAAUAUAUAUAAAGUAUUUAUUUUUGUAUUUUA
rnacentral:lncRNA from 1 species